rnacentral:rRNA from 1 species
CAAAAACAUCGCCUCCCGCAAAAAUUCAAUGUAUAGGAGGUCCUGCCUGCCCAGUGACUGUAAGUUAAACGGCCGCGGUAUUUUGACCGUGCAAAGGUAGCGUAAUCACUUGUCUUUUAAAUGAAGACCUGUAUGAAUGGUGUAACGAGGGCUUAACUGUCUCCCCCCUCUAGUCAAUGAAAUUGAUCUACCCGUGCAGAAGCGGGUAUAAUAAUACAAGACGAGAAGACCCUCUGGAGCUUAAGAUAAAAGACCAACUAUGUCAAAAGUCCUAAAAAAGACUAAACCAAAUGGCACUGGUCCCAAUCUUCGGUUGGGGCGACCGCGGGAGAAAACAAAGCUCCCAUGCGGACUGGGGUAACCCCCUAAAACUAAGAGAGACAUCUCUAAGGCACAGAACAUCUGACCAAAAAGACCCGGCCACAUGCCGACCAACGGACCAAGUUACCCUAGGGAUAACAGCGCAAUCCCCUUCCAGAGUCCAUAUCGACAAGGGGGUUUACGACCUCGAUGUUGGAUCAGGACAUCCUAAUGGUGCAGCCGCUAUUAAGGGUUC